UCUCCCUGCACCGCUUUGAGAUCUCAAAUAAACUUUGCUUGCUUCUCCAGCCUGGUGUGUGUUCAUUGGCGCUACGCACUCUGGGCAACGAACCACUUUUGCUUGCCUCGGGCGCCCUCUGUGCCUGCAACAAUCCUUACUCCCUAU